GACGAACGCUGGCGGCGUGCCUAAUACAUGCAAGUAGAACGCUGAAGGAGGAGCUUGCUUCUCUGGAUGAGUUGCGAACGGGUGAGUAACGCGUAGGUAACCUGCCUGGUAGCGGGGGAUAACUAUUGGAAACGAUAGCUAAUACCGCAUAAGAGUAGAUGUCGCAUGACAUUUGCUUAAAAGGUGCAAUUGCAUCACUACCAGAUGGACCUGCGUUGUAUUAGCUAGUUGGUGGGGUAACGGCUCACCAAGGCGACGAUACAUAGCCGACCUGAGAGGGUGAUCGGCCACACUGGGACUGAGACACGGCCCAGACUCCUACGGGAGGCAGCAGUAGGGAAUCUUCGGCAAUGGACGGAAGUCUGACCGAGCAACGCCGCGUGAGUGAGGAAGGUUUUCGGAUCGUAAAGCUCUGUUGUAAGAGAAGAAUGAGUGUGAGAGUGGAAAGUUC
rnacentral:rRNA from 1 species